AAUUGGUCAUGAGGUUGGGCAUGCCGUAGCUUGACACUAUCAAGAGGGCAUCACAAAGAGCCUGUGGGUUGCAAUCCUGCAACUGGUUCUUUAUCAGCUUAUUUUACCUGAUUUUGUCAACCCAUUAUCCAAUCUUUUCUUAAGGCUUCUUUUUUCCCGAAGUAAGGUUACUUUGAUGAUCAGUAUACUAGGACUUAACCGGAGCAUGCGUGCAGUACUUGUUGACUGGCUUGUGGAGGUGAUUGAUCUUUGUUGAUAGCUUGAUGAGGUACUGUGUAAAGAGAAACUGAAGUUGAAUUCUGAUUGUAAUUUACGUGGCUCAACUUCUUCUCCCUUUAAGAUCAAGUUGCUGAAAGUGCUAUU